rnacentral:tRNA from 1 species
GGGCCUGUAGCUCAGAGGAUUAGAGCACGUGGCUACGAACCACGGUCUCGCAAAUUCUUUGCUCCUCGCCCA